AGAAAGUUGGUAAUUCUACAAAAUGUGUAGCAAAAUAGUGCCUAACACUAUAUAUGCUUUCUUCAUUGUAAUUUAGGUCAAAUUGGGAUAAAGUUAGGUGAGUUAAACCUAAUCAAAUACACAGAUCCAUACAAAUGGAGAAUAUAGAACCUAUUGUAAAACUAAUUAAAUCAUCAUGAUAUCAUUUAUUAUAUGUCCACUCUUAAAACC
rnacentral:lncRNA from 1 species